CCUAAACCUUGGAAGAAAGAAAAAAAAAAAGUUCAAUUAGAAGAGAUGACAAAUAUUAGGGGCUUGAGUUUAACCAUUUUGUUGGUUAGUGUUGUUUUAGCUUCUAGCCUCCUACAUGGAGCUUUUGCACAGGCAGGGAAUGGAAGUGUUGACCCCUUCCAGGCAGCUUUAGUUCACUGCAAUGCUGGCGCUGUUGAAAAGAAAAAUUGCUGCAAUGCACUUAGUGCUGCUGUACAAAGGGAGAAAUUCUGCUGGUCUUCUUUGUUUGGACAGAUUUUCAUUGCUGAUCUCUACAAGUGUCGUGUUUUUCCAAAGUGCUAGAGUACUUGACCGACAACGAAACAACUUCAAAUUAACCAGAAAUCAACUACUUGGUGUUUUGACAUUUAUUUUCUACUAUAUCUACAGAGGAAGAAAAAAAAAAGAAUGAAAAGUUGAGUGUUAUAGUUCUCUAUAAUAAUACCUCAAUAUUUGAGUACUUAUUAAUUAGUCUGUGUAACUUGAUAAUGAAUAAAUGUG